GGCAGAGUGGCCGAGUGGUUAUGGCGCUGGUCUCAAGUGACAUCCAAAUAUGCACUUGGAAUUGCAAAAGCAGUUUUCCAGUCACGAAAGUGGCAGGGGUUCGAAUCCCCUCUCUGUCA